GUACGGGGGGGCAAGCGUUGUUCGGAAUUACUGGGCGUAAAGGGCUCGUAGGCGGCCAACUAAGUCAGACGUGAAAUCCCUCGGCUUAACCGGGGAACUGCGUCUGAUACUGGAUGGCGUUGAACCCGGGAGAGGGAUGCGGAAUUCCAGGUGUAGCGGUGAAAUGCGUAGAUAUCUGGAGGAACACCGGUGGCGAAGGCGGCAUCCUGGACCGGCAUUGACGCUGAGGAGCGAAAGCCAGGGGAGCAAACGGG
rnacentral:rRNA from 1 species